ensembl:snRNA U1 U1 spliceosomal RNA
AUACUUAUCUGGCAGGGGAGAGACCGUGAUCAUGAAGGUGGUUUUCCCAGGGCAAGGCUUAUCCAUUGCACUCCAGAUGUGCUGAUCCCUGCCAUUUCCCCAAAUGUGGGAAACUCAACUGCAUAAUUUGUGGUAGUGGGGGACUGCGUUCACGUUUUCCCCUG